AACAGGUUUGGUCCUGGCCUUUCUAUUAGUUGUUAAUAAGAUUACACAUGCAAGACUCCUCACCCCAGUGAAAAUGCCCUCCAAGCCACUUAAAGGUCAAAAGGAGCUGGUAUCAAGCACGCUACAAAGCAGCUCAAAACGCCUUGCUCAGCCACGCCCCCACGGGAAACAGCAGUGACAAAAAUUAAGCAAUAAAUGAAAGUCUGACUAAGCUAUAUUAUUGAGAACUGGUAAAUCUCGUGCCAGCCACCGCGGUCACACGAUUAGGCCAAACUAAUAGACAUACGGCGUAAAGAGUGUUUUAGAGUUUAUAAAUCAAAUAAAGCCAAACCCUAACCAGGCUGUAAAAAGCUCCUGUUAUUGUAAGAUAUCCAACGAAAGUGGCUUUAGAAAAUCUGAACACACGAUAGCUAAGACCCAAACUGGGAUUAGAUACCCCACUAUGCUUAGCCCUAAACAUAAAGAGUUAAAAACAAAACUAUUCGCCAGAGUACUACCAGCAAGCGCUAGAAACUCAAAGGACUUGGCGGUGCCCUACACCCCCCUAGAGGAGCCUGUUCUAUAAUCGAUAAACCCCGAUCUACCUCACCAAUCCUUGCUAAGUCAGCCUAUAUACCGCCAUCUUCAGCAAACCCUAAAAAGGACAAAAAGUAAGCACAAGUAUUAACAUAAAAACGUUAGGUCAAGGUGUAGCCCAUGGAUUGGAAAGAAAUGGGCUACAUUUCCCCUAAACCCGGACACAUUACGAAAACCUAUGUGAAAGCAUAUGUUAAAGGUGGAUUUAGUAGUAAAUUAAGAAUAGAGAGCUUAAUUGAAUGAGGCCAUGGGGCACGCACACACCGCCCGUCACCCUCCUCAAGUAAAAAAUAUUGACUACCUCACUAAACCCACAAUAUUAGCAUAUGAGAGGAGACAAGUCGUAACAAGGUAAGUGUACUGGAAAGUGCACUUGGACAAC
rnacentral:ncRNA from 1 species